CGUGUAGGCGGCUUAUUAAGUCAGAUGUGAAAGCCCACGGCUUAACCGUGGAACUGCAUUUGAAACUGAUAGGCUUGAGUAUGAGAAGGGGUAGUGGAAUUCCCAGUGUAGCGGUGAAAUGCGUAGAUAUUGGGAAGAACACCAGUAGCGAAGGCGACUACCUGGCUUAUUACUGACGCUAAUGCGCGAAAGCGCGGGGAGCAAACA
rnacentral:rRNA from 1 species